rnacentral:lncRNA from 1 species
GCUAUGUUAGCAGCGUCUUCCAAAGCAUUCGCAAAAGAUUUUUCUCCUGUCUCACGUCCCUCCUGAGUUUUAAGUUAAAUAACAAAGAACAGAAGUGGAAAACAUGAUGACAAAACAAUUAAGAGUGCUUACAUCCCCAGCACUGUAAACAGGAGCAAUCUUAGAUUGCACGGGUUCACUAUAGUCCAAAGAAGGCGUGAAACAGUAAAUCAUUGGAACAUCUCCCAAAACGUAUAGCUGCCUUACCACUGGGCCUGCUUCAGAAUCAGCUGACACCAGUGGUGUUAGUGACAGUGAUGUCAGUAAGAUGCUCCUUUUUUGGGCUUUGGAUCUGGCAUAUUGUCAUCCCCACUUCCCACUUUGACCAAUUUGCUUGUUUGCAGAUGGUGAAAACUGAUGUAUCAGCCUCGUUCAUGUUUCCCACUGGGCACCAAGAAAUGAAAAGGCAAAACACCAGGUCUGAAGAAGAUCAAGAGACAAAAAUUCAACAGUGUUAUUUUUUUCCUCAACUUUUUAUUUAGCUCAAAUUUCAUGUUUUCUCUACAAAGUAGGAAAGAUGGAAUCACUCCAAUAACAUUUUACAGGAAUUUCUGAACUACCAAAGUAGUACUACUGUUGAUGGAGACAAUGCUUUGCAAUUACUUUGGUCACUUCAAAUACUAUGACGUCUACAUUCAAGGGAGCAGUGAAUUAUUCAGAGUGCUUGAAGGGUUUCCAGUCUCUGGUUCCCUCUAUAGUCCACUAAAGAGAAGUAGUUGUACCAAGUAAAGAGCUUAUGUUAGGCAAUCUGCUCAGCCUCACUACUGCUACUAAUAUUUUUUCUGCUGACUGAAUAAAGAAACUGUCAGACAGUUUGUUGGCCUGGAU